rnacentral:rRNA from 1 species
GACAGAGGGUGCAAACGUUGUUCGGAAUUACUGGGCGUAAAGCGUGCGUAGACGGCUAUCUAAGUCGGGUGUGAAAGCCCCGGGCUCAACCUGGGAAUUGCAUUCGAGACUGAAUAGCUAGGGUGCGGUAGAGGGAAGCGGAAUUUCCGGUGUAGCGGUGAAAUGCGUAGAUAUCGGAAGGAACAUCAGUGGCGAAAGCGGCUUCCUGGACCAGCACCGACGUUCAGGCACGAAAGCGUGGGGAGCAAACAGG